rnacentral:misc_RNA from 1 species
GAUGAAGAACGUAGCGAAAUGCGAUAAGUAAUGUGAAUUGCAGAAUUCAGUGAAUCAUCGAAUCUUUGAACGCAACUUGCGCUCUCUGGUAUUCCGGAGAGCAUGCCUGUUUGAGUGUCAUGAAAUCUCAACCAUUGGGGUUUCUUAAUGGCUUGGAUUUGGAGGCUGCCAUUCUAAAUGGCUCCUCUUAAAGGAGUUAGCAAGUUUUACUAUUGCUAUCUGGCGUAAUAAGUUUCGCUGGAAUGGUAUUGUGAAGCGUGCUUCUAAUCGUCUUCGGACAAUUACUUUGACUCUGGCCUCAAAUCAGGUAGGACUACCCGCUGAACUUAAGCAUAUCAAUAAGCGGAGGA